rnacentral:lncRNA from 1 species
AAGCUUUAGCUGCUUUGAAGUAAAUCUGAUAGCUUCCCCAGUGCGUAGCCCUUGUCAUUUAGAAAAUUUGCUUUUAAGUUCGUACUCCAAGUAACUUCCCAUAUUGUUUUUCACAACAUAUUAUUUUGGUCCUUAAGAUCAUGUAGGAGUUUAAAUUGUGAGAAGGGGUUUGAUUAGUUUUUAUGAAAAUUUAACCCCUAACAAUCUCAUAUCAUGGAAGAAACUUCUCUAAACUUGAGUUUAUAUUCUGGGAGAAAAAAAUUUUUCCCCUUAGUUUGUGUUUUUGUUCAAUAAUUAUUCCCUGGGUACUUCUUUGACCAUAUUCUUCUUGAUCAAUUAUUUAACACACUUAAAAUUAGAUAUACAGCUGUGCAAAUAUGCCAAGUCUAGUUAUUUGAAAAGUCUUUUGAAGAAUGUUCACGGCAAAGAAAAACAAGAAAAACAAAAUAAGAGUAUUUGCUUGCAUGCAAAACAUGUCUAAGAAAAGAAAUAGAAAGUGUGGUUUGUUUUCCUAAUUGUACAAAAAGAAUUCCAAGUAUUUGUGUAAAAUUGCUGAUGUUAUAAAUAUUGACUUAAUAUUCAA